GUAUAUGCAUUGUUCCUUCCCUGUAGUCUUUUUCUUUUUUUGCUCCAAAUGACAUCCCGGUGACUUUUUCCAGCUUCUUUACGUUGGUGAAUUCUGGCAAUGAAAUAAAUUAUGUUCAGUUUAAUAGAAACCUAACAUUUAUUUGACUUUUAUCAUGCAGCUAGUGGAGUUGUUAGACACUCCAUUGCAUAACUAUUUUAUGCAGAAUGAUUGCUUGAAUUAUUUCUUCUGUUUCCGCUGGAUUCUUAUACAGUUUAAAAGGCAAGUAGACAGCUCCCUGUUUCUUAUUUACUGCGUGCAAUUUAUUGGUGUUGCAAAAUUGUUAUCUUUACAUUGACAUAAUGUGGAUUGUUUAACCAUAAUAUUUUCCCUGCCCCGUAAUAUGGUUUAGAUUGGUUGUCCAAACACUACCAUUCCGUUGCUUUAUUAAUAUUGCGACCAUAAGUAGUUACAAAGUUUGUAUGAAUUUCAAGAAAAUAACACUCUUUGGAGGAUCUUUAUAUCAUACUGAACUGCAUGAUAAAAGAUCACAGAGUUAAAAUGUCAUUUCAGAAUACUGCAUUUGUAGAACACAUAACUGUGUAGUAAUAAUAUGAUUUCAUAUAUCCUUCAUUUUGUCCUGCAGCUGAUUGCCUGAUGUUUCGCAGGGAAUUUGAAUAUGAGAAAACAAUGCGUUUGUGGGAGGUAUUAUGGACACAUUAUCUGAGUGAGCAUCUGCACCUUUACGUAUGUGUUGCUAUCUUAAAGAGAUACCGCAGCAAGAUAAUGGGGGAGCAGAUGGAUUUUGACACUCUCUUAAAAUUUAUCAACGAACUGAGUGGUCACAUCGACCUUGACGCAAUCCUCAGAGAUGCAGAAGCACUGUGUAUAUGUGCUGGUGAAAACGGGGCUGCCUGUAUACCUCCUGGAACUCCACCUUCAUUGCCUCUCGAGGAUCCCAUGGCAUAUCCUCAACUGGAUGAUGAUGUAUUGUAGAUGGCACAUGUAUAAAGAGACAUGCAAUAACGUAUAAUUAGUUUUCAGUGAUUUUUUGAUGUUUAAUAAGUACGCAUUGAUUUGAAUAGAUUGUGUGCUAUACAAGGAAUCUUCUACCUUAUCUUCAAUCUUGGGAGACACUUCCAAGUUCCAUGAUAUGUGGUCAAAGGAAUGUCUUUUCUGUAUGCUUUUGGUUUAGUGUUCUUACCGAUGGCUUUCCAUUUGAAUGUCUGCACUUGCACUGCAUACCAGGAAAUGUUCUGAUAUACUUUCAUAUUUUGAGCUAUUAACAUUCUUCUGAUUAUGCAUUUGCGAUGCAAAUGGACCAAGAGACCGGUGUUUCUCUUUGGUUGAAUAGUUAAUGCAUUUGAAGUCUUAUGCUUCUACUAAAGUGUUAACACUGGUCCAGGCAUUUAAUCCUUUAUUUUAGAAAUUGGAAAUAUCUAGUGCAGCUAGUCAAUGAAUAUCCAGAGAUACAACAUUCUUUUUCUUUUAACUGUCGCAUAGGUGCUGAGUUGCACAGGAACGUCAUAAAUGAGGUGUAUAUGCAUUGUUCCUUCCCUGUAGUCUUUUUCUUUUUUUGCUCCAAAUGACAUCCCGGUGACUUUUUCCAGCUUCUUUACGUUGGUGAAUUCUGGCAAUGAAAUAAAUUAUGUUCAGUUUAAUAGAAACCUAACAUUUAUUUGACUUUUAUCAUGCAGCUAGUGGAGUUGUUAGACACUCCAUUGCAUAACUAUUUUAUGCAGAAUGAUUGCUUGAAUUAUUUCUUCUGUUUCCGCUGGAUUCUUAUACAGUUUAAAAGGCAAGUAGACAGCUCCCUGUUUCUUAUUUACUGCGUGCAAUUUAUUGGUGUUGCAAAAUUGUUAUCUUUACAUUGACAUAAUGUGGAUUGUUUAACCAUAAUAUUUUCCCUGCCCCGUAAUAUGGUUUAGAUUGGUUGUCCAAACACUACCAUUCCGUUGCUUUAUUAAUAUUGCGACCAUAAGUAGUUACAAAGUUUGUAUGAAUUUCAAGAAAAUAACACUCUUUGGAGGAUCUUUAUAUCAUACUGAACUGCAUGAUAAAAGAUCACAGAGUUAAAAUGUCAUUUCAGAAUACUGCAUUUGUAGAACACAUAACUGUGUAGUAAUAAUAUGAUUUCAUAUAUCCUUCAUUUUGUCCUGCAGCUGAUUGCCUGAUGUUUCGCAGGGAAUUUGAAUAUGAGAAAACAAUGCGUUUGUGGGAGGUAUUAUGGACACAUUAUCUGAGUGAGCAUCUGCACCUUUACGUAUGUGUUGCUAUCUUAAAGAGAUACCGCAGCAAGAUAAUGGGGGAGCAGAUGGAUUUUGACACUCUCUUAAAAUUUAUCAACGAACUGAGUGGUCACAUCGAC
rnacentral:lncRNA from 1 species